rnacentral:misc_RNA from 1 species
CAGCAACAAUAGCAAUAACAACAGUAAUAGAAGGAAAAGAAGGAGGAGGAGAAGAAGGAGAAGGAGAAGGUGGAACAGCAUUAGCAGUAGUAGUAGUAGUAGUGGUAGCAGCAGCAGCAGAAGCAGUGGUAGCACGCGACGUUGUGCUGUUUUGACAACUUUCCGCCGCGUCGGGGCGUCGCGCCGUUUUUCUCGCGGCGGCGGCGGCAACGGUAGAAACAACAGCAAUAAGAUAGCGACAACAACAACUUAUUUAAAAAAGAUCGAUUGUGACAGCAAUUACGAUUGCUGCUGUCUCUCCAGCCCAUACGACGUCGACGGUGGUGGCGACUGCGUUCUGUUAUUAUUUUGCCACGGUGUUUUUGACCCUACAAACCGGACGAGUUCAUUGCAGCACUUUCGCGGGGGUGUCAGCCAGUUUUAUUACUCCGACCUUCUCCGUCCGCAGCAGCAGCGCCGACGGCGCCAGAACACGACGUGGUAUAUGCAGCAGCACGUCUAACUACAGGUAUAAAUCCCUCUGGUGGCAAGUGUAGGAGGAUCGCCACAGAACUAUAUCAGUGACGUUGCGACUGAGAAAGGACGCGACAAACCACGUGAUAUACCUGUCGUCGAGCCGCGUCAUGCAAAGCAUGCCCGACUCCUCGAUGGCCAUAACCUGAAUUGAGCCGAUUUGACCCGAUUAAGCCCGAUUCAACGUAUUCGUAGUUGAACGAACAAGCAAACGAACGAAUGAAAGAAAACAAACGGUAGCCAUUGACUUUUUUCAUCUUUCCUCGUGCUUACGUUCAUUAUUCUUUGGUGUUCUGUGUUUAAUAAAGAAUAUGCUUUUUGCAAUAAAGAUGCGAAUAUUCAGAAGUGUAUUAUACUUCAAUAAUAAUAUUUAUCUAAUA